CCAACCGCCAUAAAACCGAAGAAGAAGAAGAAAGUACUUCCGGUUUAGAUGUCUUUCGCCACAAAAAACCUUGAAUAGCUUUUGUCAUGUUGCGCAGUGUUUUUGUCACAUUUGGGACAACAUCUGCCUUUGUAAAGCGCUCCGUGCGACACACGCUUUUACCUUUGACUUCGGUGUCGUCACUGAGGACAUUUACGGACUCGAAGGACGACACGAAGACAUUUGACUCUUCUCUGCUGGACUUCCUCGUAUGUCCGCUGUCCAAAAAGACGCUCAGGUUUGAUGAGAAGACCAACGAGCUGAUCAAUGACGAGCUGGGCAUCGCGUACCCCAUCAUCGACGGCAUCCCCAACAUGAUCCCCCAGGAAGCCAGACUCUUAGAGAAGACUUCUCCUGCACAAGGACACAAUCUCCCAUCUUAAAUACAACCCAAUUCAUCUUGAUGGGCGCUGCUGGUGUUCAUUGAUCCAUCAGAAGAGUGUUUAUGAAGUUAGAAAUAUUAACCUGCUGCUUCCUGUCACCAUCCCUGUCUAUGUCUUCUUCCACCUGUGGAGCUGGAUGGGAAUCAAGCUCUUCAGGCAUAACUGAAAUGGGGGAAAAAGAAUAAAAAGAUGUUUACUGUG